rnacentral:rRNA from 1 species
GAUCCUGGCUCAGAACGAACGCUGGCGGCGUGCCUAACACAUGCAAGUCGCACGAGAAAGGGGCUUCGGCCUUGAGUAAAGUGGCGCACGGGUGAGUAACACGUGAAUCAUCUACCUUCGAGUGGGGAAUAACCUAGGGAAACCUGGGCUAAUACCGCAUAACACUUACGAGUCAAAGCAGCAAUGCGCUUGAAGAGGAGUUCGCGGCAGAUUAGUUAGUUGGUGAGGUAAUGGCUCACCAAGACGAUGAUCUGUAUCCGGCCUGAGAGGGCGCACGGACACACUGGAACUGAAACACGGUCCAGACUCCUACGGGAGGCAGCAGUGGGGAAUUUUGCGCAAUGGGGGAAACCCUGACGCAGCAACGCCGCGUGGAGGAUG